rnacentral:lncRNA from 1 species
CUGCACCUAAUGAACAGGGCUUAACCAGACAGCCGGUUAGUUAUACUAUAUUUACACCCCGAAAAAAACUGAUAAUUACCUUCAAGCAAUUGAUUACAUUACAUCGCACAAGCAGUGUUACAACUUACACGCAUUCAUAAAACGGAGUAGAAUUAAUAGAAGAUAUUAACAGGAUUAAAGCAGAAACUAUAGAACAUCAUCAUACAGAAGCAAUGUAACAAAGAUAUGAGAAGCAGGGUGAUUAACGAUCAGAUUUGACAUAUAUACAGAACAUAAUAUCGUAAAAACAAUCACUGAGCCUCAAUGGUGUUUGCAUUACUGGUAGCAUCAGCCUUAGAGGUGGAGUCUUUCGAGUCAAUGCUUUUAGUCCGCUGGAGACUCGGGGCCCGGUGAAGCCUGCACCUGAAGGAACCUGCAUGUGUGGUAGGCGAGCAUAAGCAAAUAAAGCAAUUGCUCUUGGCUGAACUUGGUUGUCUUGUUAGCCCCGAUGUUGGAGAUACCAUUUCAGUUUCUUGUGGAGUCUCCACCUUCAUAUAAUUUUUGUUGCUCAUAUGUUCGCUAUCCAUUCAAUUUUCUUCCCUUAAACUUUCCCCCCCUGCAAGAGCUAAUUCACGGAUCAUGUUGUGUACCCACAAAAUGCAAAACGAAACAAUAAUAGUUUGUAAUUCGAUUAGAAAUUGUUACCUUUGGACUUUGGUGAUGUUCUUGAUUGACCCAGAAAGCACACCACAAAAAUGAAGAUCAAGUAAGAGAAAGAGAUGACAUUGGGAAUGGCUAAAAAUGACAAUAUGCUUUAUCUAUUUCUCUAUCACGGGAAUAAUAAUCGAUUCCAUUAACGUCCCACCUAGAUAUAUCACUUUUGUUGUGAAUGCCUCAACCACUCCCCCCAAUUAGAGAAACCCAUCAUAUCAAUAUGACCCCAUUACGUUUUGUAUAAUUUGAUCUCUUCUUUUUGGGCAUGCACUUGAAUCAUGAGGUGCCAUACCAUGCUUGUGAAAAAUCUUUAAAA